UUGUUUGCCAGGUUUAACUUGGGACUGCUGGUCUGCCAUUGGUGUUUGGAAUUUAGGGUUGGAGAGAAGAGGCAGGGAGUUCAAGAGAAGGCACUGGAUCCAACUGUCCUUCAGUCAGGAGGAACCCUUUAAAAGGUGGGAGCUGGCCUCCUACAUCCAACCAUCACAGUAUAGACACCUUCAUCAAUGGAAACAGAAUUGAGGACUCAUGGAACCCACACUCCUAUAGACCUCAAAACACAUGCCUUGGAGAAAGAAAAGCAAAUGGUGCUGUUCCAACUGGCUAGCUACAAGCAGAAGAAUGAAACUGGAUCCUGUCUCUGCCUCUGCACAGAAGUCAACUCCAAAUGCAUCAAGGACCACAACACAAGGCCUGAUACCAUGAACUUGACAGAGAAGAAAGUAAGGAAUGUACUUCAGCUUAUAGGCACAUAAUGGACUUUCUGAAUAGGAGUUGAGCAGCAGAAGCAUGAAGACUAACACUUGACAAGUGGGACUUUGUGCAAAUAAAAAGCUUCUGUAGUGCAAAGGAAACUUGAGCAGCCAACAGAAUGGAUGGGGGGAGUCUUUACUCUCUAUACAUCUGAAAGAUAAUUAUUACUUACAAUAUACAAAGGACUCAAAAAAAUUAAAUACUCAUAAACAAGCCAAUUUCAAAAGUAGGCUAUGUAAUGGAACAGUGAGGAGGAGGAAGGAGGAGAGGAGGAAGGGGAAGAGGAGGAAGAAGGAGGAGGAGAAGGAGGAGAAGAGAGAAGAAGAAGCUGAGAAAUAAUUUUUAAAAUGUUCACAGUCUUUAGCCAUCAGGAAGAUGUGAAUACCUGAGAUUUCAUCUCAUCCCAGUUGGGAUGGCUUUGAUUAAUAACAUAGAUAACAACCAAUGCUGGUGAGGAUGGUGAGGAUGUCGGGAAAGGGCAAACCUCAUUCAUUUCUGGUCAGAAUGCCAACUGGUGCAGCUACUAUGGAAACCAAUUUGUCAGCACCUCAAAAAACUAGAAAUAGAUACUAUAUAUGACCCAGCUAUACCUCUCCUGGGCCUAUACUUAAAGGACUGUAUUUCCUAUUAUGGAGAUAUAUGCUCAUUUUUGUUCACAGUAGCCAAAUGUAAUGGAUAGUGAAACUGCUGUACAGAUGUGCAAUGGAACAUUACCCAACUGGAAAAAAAAAUGUCAGCUAUUCAGUUUUCAGGCAAAUGGAUGAAACUUGAAAACAUUACACUGAAUGAGGUAACCCAAACCCAGAAAGAUAAACGUUUCAUGUUCUCCCUCAUAUGUGUUCCUAGUAUCAAAUUCCUAGAUCUUUGUGUUUAACUUGGAGCCAGGAAAACCAUUGGUAAAAUAGAGAAGGAAAGAUAUUAAUGAAGUAGUCAGUAGUAAAACAGAAGUGAUAUGAAGAGGAAAAAUGGGGAAGGAAGUAUAAUUGGAGAGAGAAUAAGAGGGUAGAGCAGAGGAGGAGUUGGGAGAGGAAUAAGUAACAAUAAAUGUUUGAAAACGC